rnacentral:rRNA from 1 species
AACGUAGGAGACAAACGUUAUCCGGAGUUACUGGGCGUAAAGGGCGUGUGGGCGGUUUGUUAAGUUUGGCGUGAAAGCUCUCGGCUAAACCGGGAGAGGUCGUUGGAUACUGGCAAACUAGAGGACGGUAGAGGCGUGUGGAAUUCCGGGUGUAGUGGUGAAAUGCGUAGAGAUCCGGAGGAACACCAGUGGCGAAGGCGACACGCUGGGCCGUACCUGACGCUAAAGCGCGACAGCAUGGGGAGCAAACGGG